UCUAUAAAAACAAAUUUACUAACCCUUCAAUUUCAUCUACUCUAUUUCUCUUAAAUCAUCAUACGUAAGUGUUUAGUGAUACUAUUAUUUUUAGAAGUUCAGGAAAAUGGUGAACCCACUGAAGUAUAUGCUUGAGAAUCCAAAAAUCAACCCAAACCAGUUUGAUAUAUUGCUGAAAAGCCGGUUGUUUAGCUACUGCAAAGUUGCUGCUGGAGGUUUAGUAGUUGCUGGAUUUGCAAAACUAGCUUCUUUCCGCGAAGGCAAUGGCAAUGGCUUGUUUCAAGUUAAAGAAUGGUUCAAGGGUAUUCGUAUUCGUGGAAAAGGAUCAGAGACAAACUAACUAUGUUAUUUUAGCAUCUAAGUGUUCUUAUUAUGGAUUAUGUUGAUUAGUAUUUGUGAUUUCUAGUUUAUUACAAGUAUAUGUUCAGUUAAAGCUGCUAAUUUGGUGAUUUAACAUUUUUAGUUGGGUAAUAAAUUAAAAUUGAACUCUGCCUUAUUUAGUAUAAAGCUUUUGUCUUUUGA